rnacentral:rRNA from 1 species
GGUAUGUAAAGCUCUAUCAGCAGGGAAGAUUAUGACGGUACUUGACUAAGAAGCACCGGCUAAAUACGUGCCAGCAGCCGCGGUAAUACGUAUGGUGCAAGCGUUAUCCGGAUUUACUGGGUGUAAAGGGAGCGCAGGCGGUGCGGCAAGUCUGAUGUGAAAGCCCGGGGCUCAACCCCGGUACUGCAUUGGAAACUGUCGUACUAGAGUGUCGGAGGGGUAAGCGGAAUUCCUAGUGUAGCGGUGAAAUGCGUAGAUAUUAGGAGGAACACCAGUGGCGAAGGCGGCUUACUGGACGAUAACUGACGCUGAGGCUCGAAAGCGUGGGGAGCAAACAGGAUUAGAUACCCUGGUAGUCCACGCCGUAAA